rnacentral:rRNA from 2 species
CCUGGCGGCAGUAGCGCGGUGGUCCCACCUGACCCCAUGCCGAACUCAGAAGUGAAACGCCGUAGCGCCGAUG